UGGCUCAGUUGGUAGAGCAUGGUGUGUGCAACGCCAGGGAUGUGGGUUUGAUUCCCAC
rnacentral:tRNA from 1 species